UCGCAUUGGCAAAUAUGUAGUUGUGAUAGUAUGACUUAUAAGUAAUAAUACCAAACAUUCUUGGUACUUAAAAAAUAAUCAAUAACACAUGGUAUUGUUUAUUGUUCUAAAAUUAAAAGCAUUUUUAAUAGUCUGUUGCUAAAAUUUGACCUGUUGUGUUUUAUGUUUACAGCUCUGAAUUGGAUUAUGGAAGAGGAGCCACAGACACAGGAUGUACAUGUAACAGUGCUUCUUCUGGAUGACUUGAUGAUCCAACCUGAUUAUCUGGGAGCUGACGACCCCGCACAUGGCUGAGACGAAAGCUGCUGGUGUCGCACGAAAAGGUUAACCAAACAGUUGCAGUAACAAUUGGCAAGAGAGAACAUGCCUAAUGGGCAGCUGUUCGCAAGUUGAGAUUCGCCGCCUCUAACUUCGGGCAUAUCUUGUCAGCGUUUGACAGAAAAAACUAGCAGUGUCUUUGAAAACAAACAACUGAGUACGUAUAACCUGGAAAAACGUGCACCUAUGCAGUUGGGAGCAACACAUGAGCAGGUGUGUAUAGCUGACUACUGCAAGGUGGGAGGAGUCACUGUACAGGCAAGUGGAUAACGUAUUUUUAUAAGUUUGAAUUGGUCUUUAGCUGUAAUAGAAUUUCACAAUGUGUUUAUUUUAAUAUCAUAUAUUAUGUUAUAUCAUUUUAAUACAAGCAUUUGGCUGCACGAGUCUGAUGUCUUGGGUGCAACACCAGAUGGUUUUGUCGAAGGCGUGUUUAGGGGUGUAGUUCAUCAACAACAUGACCAGGCAACAUGUAGUGCAGACAUCACAGAAGUAAAAAACCAUUACACCGCCAGAGACAUGACUAUUCUGGAGGCGUGUUAAUCGAUCAAAGAUUUUUACCUCGAUAAAACUAAUCAAUCUUCUGAUGGACGGCUUUCCCUCAAGGUUGCAAACAACUUCUGGCAUCAAAUUCAAAGACAUAACGUGAUCUUGUUGUGUGGACAAAUAAAGACUUGCAAGUGAUCAGAAUAGCAAAGGAUCAUGUGUGGUCUGUAAAUCUGUAAAACAAAAAGGAUUUAUUUUUAUUUUUCGAGCUUUUUACCAUUACUAAACGAAUAAAGGUUACAUUAAAUCUGAGAUGAUAUUGGUAUGAACCGAUUAUAGUUAAAUUGUUCAAUCUUAUUACAUGCACAAUCUGUUAUACACAGAAUUCCGGACUUUUUUCCUAUACGCUUUCAGAUAUUGAGUUGAUGCUGAUCACUUGCACGUCUUUAUUUGUCUUUUUAAAGAAAUAUGUUAAUACAUGUACUACCGAUAAGUUGAAUAUGUAUAUAUCGUUUAUAUAAUGAGAUAAAUACACCAUUUUGUGACAGUACAGAUAUUCUUUAAUUCUACAUUUUCAGUAGAAUGUGUAUUUUUCUUAUAAGUGUUCAUUUGUUUAUGUUGUUAUUAAUGCAUGUGUUUCAACGGCAGCUUUAUCAUGGUCAACUGAGUUGCCAUAAUCAAGACAUUUUAAUUGUUUUUAUUUGGUUCUUUGUUUUUUAUGACUCUG